rnacentral:lncRNA from 1 species
UUACUCAAGUGGGCUUGAACAAAACGCAAAUCUUAUUGGAAUAUCUUUAUGUUUGUACCCACAAGCUAUAAAUGAUGUAUAUGUGCUAUUAGACUUGAUAGAAGUAUUCAAUCAUGUAUAUGACUUGUUUUGACCUCUCACAAGUUUAAUGUUUAAGGAAUGCCCAAGAAAUAGGUUGAGGGAAAUUUUUUAAGAAAAUAGAGCCGAAUUCAAAUAGAGUUAUCUAAGGCUUAAGUGAUCCAAAUACAAAAAAGUUUGAGUAUAAUGUCAAGCCCCGGAAGUUAGCUUUCCAAUGAAACUAAUUUCAUAACCAAACUCAAAGUAUUGAAGAAGUUAUGACCAAAAAAGUGAGAGCUAUUGUUAAGCAGAGUUUCUGCAAAAUCUGCAGUCCAGAUUGUCCAACUUCAAAUGGGAUUAUCUCAGGAUUUAUAAAUAAAUUAUGUCCAUUUUACUGAGGCUUGGUCUGUCAGACAACGGCAAAAAAAAAAAAAAAACCGAACUUUAACUGAACCAACCUUCGUCGACCAAUUUGACAAGAUUUGCGACCGAAGUUUCCAGAAAAAGAGCAGUUCACUUGGCCAGUGGAAGUUCAGUUCAAGUUCGACCGAAGUUACUUUCGACCAAAGUUAGAAAAUGUGUGACAAAAGUUUGCAAAAAUAGAUCUGGACGCUCCAAUUCAAAUUCCAACGGCUCUGUCACUUUUUCAAUGGGAAGAUUUGAUAAAAUUCAUAUAAAUACAACCCUUGGGGUUGUGGAAAACUUAUGGAAGUGCACUAAAAUUAUUUCUAUUCUUCCAUUCAUUAUCUAGCACUUCAAAAUUUCGUGUUGAAUUCCUUUUGUUCCUAUCUCUACUUUCUAAUUUGAAAUUUGAAUGGGGUCCGACGUAUUAGGUGUAUCUUAGCAUGGUGGUGGAAUUAGUAAAAAAGCUUAAUAGUUAAGAUUUGGGUAAAUUUCACCAAUAGUCCAUUGACUUACUGAGUUUACCCAGGACCAGACCUGAUUAGUGGGAUUAAAAGAAAAAUAUAGUUAAAUCAAUACGAUAAAUAUUGUAACUUUUUCACAUCAUAAUAUCUCCACAAUUCUCGAAAUCCAAACACGUUUUUUAAAUGGCCAACAGAUGAAUUAUUUUCAACAUGCGUGCAUGGGUCUAGUGAGAGCCUGUAAUACACUAACCCAAAUAAGACUUUAUUUUCUUAAUUUAUACUAUUUAGUUAGAGAGAAUUAUUUUUUUUUUUUGAUACGUGACAGUUUUUAAAAUUGUGUAUAUUUUCUUUUAAAAAAAUAUCCCUAUAAACUUAUUUUUUAAUAACAGGUUGGGUACGUUAGGGGAUAAAAAGGAUAAUUGCACUUCCAAUUGUAUAAAAUUACACUCGCACCCUUCUAGUUUUCUUCAAUGCACUUCUUUAUAAAAAAAAUAAAAGGAAAAAAGUAAAGGUUAGCUAUAUGUUUUCCAUAUCAACCAAAUUAUACAAAGAGGGCUACUAUUAUUUGUGGGCUCAAUCCAACCACUAGCAAAAUAUGGAGUGCUAAUGAUAAUGCAUAAAAGUUAAGAGAGUGGCAAGUAAUUGACCCAUCAUUAAGUUCACAAAGGGGUGGAGCCAGAAUUUUAGGUUAGAAAGGGUAAAGUGUAAAAAAAAAUAUUAAUAUAUAUUUUAGGAGAGCUAAAGUAUAAAAAAAAAAUUAGUAUAAAUUUUAUAAUAUUUUAAAAUUCAAGGGGGGCUAGCCUAGCUUGGUACCGCCCCGUUCACAGCUACUUUUUUAUGUUAAGUCAAGUCUUUUAAGCAUCUCCAACCUAAUUUUCCAUUUUGAAAGAUUGAAUAAUUAUAAAAGAUAAUAUUUUAUUCAAAAAGGGUGCUUAGUGAAUUAUUCAGUAAAACUUUUAAAAUAAUUACAAUAAAUCCUCUUACAUAACCUUGUUUGCCGCUGCCUCCCAAAUGUUUACAACUUGUACACUUAACUCCCUUUUAAGUAUUGAAUAGUAAAUGCAAGAGUGUUGGGCCAUAACAGAAAAUACUUAAAUUUAACUCUUUAGCCCUUUUUUUAUAUUGCACGCCAUCUGCCUCUUCCCCAUCCAAUCCCAAUCUCUAAACACAACACUCUCACACAAGCACCAAGAACAUAUAUCCACACCGACCUCUACCAUCGACACCCCACAACCACACCAACACCGACAACCAUACCCAUACUGCUGUGAUUGAGAAAUUUGAGGCCCCGUUGCACACCCAGAUUCAAAUUUGGAAACCACGACCCUUCAAAUUUGAAAGCCCAUCAUAAUUGGAAUCGAAACCAAACCCAUUUCAACUCAUCUACAGUAGGGGUUAAGUGUUCGAGUUAAACAUUAGGGAAACUCAAUAAUAGGGCUUACUGUAGGAGGGUUUAUUAUAAUUUACCUAAAAAAUGUUUUGAGAUUGACUGAGAUAUUGCCACUAACUACAAGGAUUCUUCCUUGAAGCUUAAAGCAAAUCCAAUCUUGAUUAUAAAGCGAAAUGCAAACCUGAAU